GGAUUUCCGAGCAGUGCAGAGCGUCAGGCUUUUAACCUGAAUGUCGCGGGUUCGAGCCCCGCGCGGAGCU